UUUUUACUUUUUUUUGUUUAUUAUUCUUUUACUGUUUUUAUUUUAUUUCCCAAUAUUUUUUUUUUGUAAAAUAUGUAAUUAACACCCAAAUUGCAUUACUAAAUAUACCUCUGCCACAAUAACUUGGGCACCCAAACAAAUUAGUUUAAUAUUUUAUAUAUUACAAAAGGAAUUUAAUUAUUGGUUUUAGCUACUAUUUAUUUACUUUCGAGCAUUCAGUUAUUUUAUAAAAGUGUGGUUUCUCCACCAUAAUUACCUAUGCAAUAUUUGGUUCACUCCGAACAUUUUAGUUUUAAUAUUUGAAAACUUUUAUUGUUUGCUUGAUUUUGAAUUAGAAUUUGAAUCGUUUUCAAACUAACGCGAGAUUAAUAACAGUAAUCAAGGUGACGUGGGAUCAUUAGCAGAGGUUUGCUGUAGCUUGAUUAUCCGGGCGUCACAAUUCUCCUCCACUACAAGAAAUCUCGUCCCGAGAUUUAGGAGCGGGAGUAAGGGGGAAGGGAUUUGGUUACGAAAUUCUAACGAACCUUCUCGUUCUUGGUUGCUCUGCUCAUUGAUGUCUUCAUUUCUCUGCUUCAGGUCAUCAUGAUGAAGUUAUCAUUUUCUUCGGGAACUCCAACGUACUUACGAAUAGGUAAGGGACAACUCAGCUACGACAAAAUGCUUAAGAGGGAAACAAUCUGGGAUUAACCCAUGAAUGAUCAUAAGAUUAUCUCUCGAGUUGAACAUAUAAAAUACAUCGAGAGUAAGGUACGAAGGUACAAUAAGAGGUUCCAAGCAGAUAGGUAGUUGCUCGAAGUCUGAACCAGAGUGAGAAAGGGGUUCAGAGCAGCGAGAGUAAGUAUUGCGUCUGAUACCAAAAUGGAGCACUAGGAAGGUGGCCCGUGAAUUUAAAUACGAAGCCAAGAGCGAGGAAUAAGUUUGGAAACAGGGGGUAUAGGAGAGUCAGGUUUCGAUCCUGUGGAAUUUUGGGUUAUGGGCCCACCAAGUGGGUUAUAAGUAGGAAGGGCGGAGACGUCUUGCAUGAUCAUGCAAGCAAGGCAUGUCAGAGGGUAGCCUGUCAGUUAGGUCGGCAACAAUAUCGGUACCAAGGGCGAGGGACGAAGAGAACCAUUUUCCUGCUCGUUGAACGAGGCGGACCAAUAGGCAAAGUUCUCGUCCAUCGGUGGUUACCGGAAUGUUAUCAACAAUAGUAACAGGGUCUUACUGACCGAGUUGUACACCGAGGUGUUUGCACAAGCAGGAAAUUAUUACUGCUCAUAUCAUAUAGAUCACAGUAAGGGUUUAAACAAACCAAUGGAAAGGAAAAAGUGUCUAUUAGAUUUAAUUAGAAGCAUGGAAAGAAAAAUGUGUUUAAACACAUAUUUCAGGGGUAUAUCCUUCCCAAGGACAAGCAGAGCAUGAUAUCCAUGACAGGAUAUAACGUAGAAAACCCUUUAGGAAAGGGGGAAGAAAUUUCAUGACAUUACCCAUACAACAGUGUUUGGAUAAUUGAUAAGGAGAAUUUAGCAUUGUGCUUCAAGUGCUCUUAUUGAUGAUCGGAGUAGCACAGUCAUGCUUCGAGAUAGCAUUGACAUGGUCAUUAGGUAAAGAUCAGGCUAUGGAUACACAAAGGAUCCACCUGGAACAACUUAUAGAAUAAGUCUUACAAUUUCCUCAUGGAAGAAUGGAUAACCUUGCCAAAAGCAAGCUAUAACAAUAGGCCCUCCGGCCAGAUGUGCCAGGCAUGACAUCACCUUACCGGGUCAUAUAAAGACCAAUGUUAUAACUCUUUGAAAUAUGUUCCAACCAUCAUAUCUGACCGAGAUUCAGAUCUGAUUGUUGUCAGGUUACCUCAGACUUAGGAUGCCUGAGAAGAGAAGGUGCGACACAAAUUGACGGGAUGACAUUGUAAGAUUCUCGGGAAAUGAACCAUGGAAGCGAGUUCCAAAACAAGAGUUCAUCAUUAAACCAAGGAGAGGUGAGGAGGUGGCUGAUUGACUAAUCGACAAUUCAAAGAGAUUUCCAAAAAGAUGGAUUACCACAAUCAUGUGAACAAGGAUAUAACAUUUGUCAGAUCAAUUGAUAUAAUGAUGUAUGUUCGAGGAAACAUACACAAUUAAACAUUGGUUGAAAGGUGCACCCGAGAUAUGGGCUUAGGUAGGAACGAUGUCGUAAUGGUGUUUCAAUAACCGAUGGUCUAAGAAUGAACUGUCGACCAUUAACUUCAAGCAAUAGGGUUGCUAGAAGUUUGGAAUUACACCACACAUUUGAUUUGUUGGUAUUCUGGUUAGCAACAAUACAGGGACCAAGAAUUGAACAGAGAUUGCAAGAAGUAUCACUUGAAUCAAGAAUUCUUAAGAGGUGGUGAAAUUCUCACGACAUUCUUGACAUGAUGGUAAUACUUCAAGGUAAAGAAGAACAAAUGAUGGGUAGCAAGGAACUCAAGGUAUAAGACAGAACACGAACAAGUCUGUGUUGAACGGAAGGCAAUAAAGUGGUCGAUGAGUAACACAAAUCAUCGAGGGAAAGGAUGGUAUUUCUCAUCAUGAAUUCUUGAUACCCUGGGAGAGCUCAGAAUGCUGAUGAUGAGCACGACACAAUUGUCGAGAGAUUUCACGAAGAUGUAAUUGACCGACGAUGACAUCAAGUCAAAGGAAUGAUGAAGCGAAAGGUUAUUGGAACCAUGAGUACGACACAAACUCGAAAUCAAGCUUGUUGUUCAAGGCGAAAUGAUAUGACGAGGAAAAUUGACGUAAGCUUAGCUCAUCGUCAAAAGUGGUGCUCUGGGAAUAAGGACCAGGUAGCACAGUUAAAUUUAGCAUGAUAACGAUGUAACCGAUCAGGCUAGGAAUGACAUGAUGGAGUAUUAAACUUCUCAACAACAAAGUACUAGGAGUACUGAAUUGUGGUGCGGAUUUGAUUCAAUUCUCGGAGUCCUCGGUUGACGACAACCCAGAACCAUUGGAGUGACUAUGACAUGGAAAUGUACUACUUCAUCAGAAAUUCAUAAGAUGUAGUGCGAUGGCAUGAUAUCCUCGAGAUACCAGGGAGUAGUACUCGAAGGCAGAUCAAAAUAGAGGUGGACUGGGGUAUUGAUCCGCAGAAGACAAAGGCUUAAACUUGCCCGAGAAAUGGGAACAAAGAAGAACAAUAUAGUCGGAACCAUAGCUGCAAGGGAUUCCACUUAAUGACACCGGAAGAAUUGCCCAAAUGAUUAGAUAUUUUGCAAGAAGCUUCCGUGAUAAGUUACACAUCGGGUCCAUGGGCAUGAACACAAAGGUUCAAGGUCGACUCCCACUUCUUCAAUGCAAAACCUUUCAUUCACUUCUCGCUUUCGAAGAAGUUGUAGCAUUGAAAUUUUAUAUGGCAAAACACUAGAAGAGUAUGAAUCGUGAAAACUUCGAGUUCACACAUAUUAAGGAAGGCAUAGGUUCAACCCAUCGGGGCAUCGUGGAAACAUAUACCACAAGCUUCAAUAGUAAAUAUCAACAGCUCGAAAGCAGAGCAUGGUUGACCAAAGAAGAGGAUACAAUUUACUAGAGGCAUUAUGUAUCCGAGAGGAAUUCACAAGGCGAUUAAAUAUGAAGGACACUGUCGAAUAAUAACCAAGCAAUUGGUCUCGCGGACCACAACAAAUCUGAUGUGAGUAUCAAUACUCAAUCAGAAGGAAAAAGAAUGCAAAGGCAUCAGAUUAUAGAAACAACCGACUAAUUCAAAGCUCAAUGCAAAUGAAUUAUGAUUUUCAAAUCAAGGGGUCAGAAGCAAACACUCUGAUCAAGGGUGGAUAAGUUCAAUAGACCUAAGGGUACAAUUGACAGCAAAUAGAUUGGUCGAGAACAAGCUCAUGUUCAAAAAAAUGACGUCUGAGACGGAAGGAUGAAUUCUAGGAUAUGAUUGAGGAUUGCGAGCAUUCGCAACAUAUUGAAUCAAUGGACUCAAAAUGAUAUUUGACAAAGGAUGCCAAUAAGAUUACCAGACUUAUGGGAUUAGCCAUAAUGCAAGCAAGCAAGAAUUUCAAGAGCAAGACGAUGCUCAGGAUUUUUGGAAGAUCGAAUGGUAUUUUGAAAACUUUUGUGAAACACAUGAACAACUGGGAAAGAGCGGAUACUCGAUAAGCGCGAGGAAUUAUCCGUAAGGGUAUUCAUGAGGCAAGAACUGUAUAGCAGUAAGCUCAAAGGAUUCUUGGAACAACGGAGAGCGGUUCGGGGCAUCUUGUAUUAACAAGAUCAACUUGGAAUAAAAUUAAGAAUGACGGGUGUAAGUAUUUAUCCAUAGGGAUAGAUCAGUAGUAGAGAAUUGCAAAAGCAACGAGCACAAGGUCUCGAGAAUAUCGGAGAGUAUCUUCGCAAUCCUUCGGUGGACCAAGCAAUCAUCUGGAGUGAGGGGCUCUCCGGGAGGAAGUAGUUACGAGAACCUAGAGUCAGAGUUAGUAAAAUCAUUUCACCCGAAUAGAAGAGAGGCCAGAGUCCCAGAGUAUAGGUCGAGUAAUAAAAGAUCCUAAUACCACCCAAUGGCGACGUGGGCCCGUAAGCCGCACAACCAUGUUAGUAAAAGUUUUGCAACGACUAGACUCAACUUCGGCGAAGGAGUUGGGAAGGGGGAUUCCUACAGGCAGUUGGCUCUGAUACCAACUUGUGACGCCCCCGAUUUGACCGUACAGUAAUCAUGCACGCAAAUGUGUACGAUCAAGAUCAGGGACUCACGGGAAGAUAUCACAACAAAACUCUACAACAUAAAGAAGUCAUACAAGCAUCAUAAUACAAGCCAGGGGCCUCGAGGGCUCAAAUACAAGUGCUCGAUCAUAGACGAGUCAGCGGAAGCAACAAUAUCUGAGUACAGACAUAAGUUAAACAAGUUUGCCUUAAGAAGGCUAGCACAAAAGUAGCAACGAUCGAAAAGGCAAGGCCUCCUGCCUGGGACCUCCUAACUACUCCUCGAAGCCGAACUCCUCGUAGAAUCAUCCUCCGGGAUCUCUAGCUCCUGGACUCCAGCAUCUGGUUGCGACAAUCAGGUAUAGAAAGGGGAAAAGAGGGAGAAAAGCAACCGUGAGUACUCAUCCAAAGUACUCGCAAGCAAGGAGCUACAUUACAUAUGCAUGGGUAUAUGUGUAAAGGGUCAUAUCGGUGGACUGAACUGCAGAAUGCCAGAAGAAGAGGGGGAUAGCUAAUCCUGUCGAAGACUACGCUUCUGGCAGCCUCCAUCUUGCAGCAUGUAGAAGAGAGUAGAUUGAAGUCCUCCAAGUAGCAUCGUAUAGCAUAAUCCUACCCGGCGAUCCCCUCCUCGUCGCCCUGUUAGAGAGCGAUCACCGGGUUAUAUCUGGCACUUGUAAGGGUGUGUUUUAUUAAGUAUCCAGUUCUAGUUGUCAUAAGGUCAAGGUACAACUCCGGGUCGUCCUUUUAUCGAGGGACACGGCUAUUCGAAUAGAUAAACUUCCCUGCAGGGGUGCACCACAUAACCCAACACGCUUGAUCCCAUUUGGCCGGACACACUUUCCUGGGUCAUGCCUGGCCUCGGAAGAUCAACACGUCGCAGCCCCACCUAGGCUCAACAGAGAGGUCAGCACGCCGGUCUAAAUCCUAUGCGCGCAGGGGUCUGGGCCCAUCGCCCAUUGCACACCUGCACGUUGCGAGGGCAGCCGGAAGCAGACCUAGCCUAGCAGGCGUUCCAGUCCAAUCCGGCGCGCGCCGCUCCGUCGCUGACGUCAAGAAGAGCUUCGGCUGAUACCACGACGCCGAGUGCCCAUAACUGUUCCCGCGUAGUUGGUUAGUGCGUAUAGACCAAAUGGCCAGACUCAGAUCAAAUACCAAGAUCUCGUUAAGCGUGUUAAGUAUCCGCGAACGCCGACCAGGGCCAGGCCCACCUCUCUCCUAAGUGGUCUCAACCUGCCCUGUCGCUCCGCCAUAAAGUAACAGUCGGGAGCCGUCAGGAACCCAGGCCCACCUCUACCGGGAUGGAGCCACCUAUCCUUUCAGCCCCCUCAUCAGAAUCACUUGCGGGUACUCAAGGAGCCGACCCGACUUUAGUCACCACAUGUGUCAUGUAUAUAAAGUAUAUAAUAUAUACCCGUGAUCACCUCCCGAAGUGAUCACGGCCCAGUAGUAUAGCAUGGCAGACGGACAAGAGUGUAGGGCCACUGAUGGAACACUAGCAUCCUAUACUAAGCAGUAGGAUAGCAGGUAAGGGUAACAACUGUAGCAACAAUGACAGGCUAUGCAACAUAAUAGGAUUAACCGAAAUCAGUAACAUGCUACACUACUCUAAUGCAAGCAGUAUAGAGAAGAAUAGGCGAUAUCUGGUGGUCAAGGGGGGGCUUACCUGGUUGCUCUGGCAAGGAGGGGUCGUCAACACCGUAGUCGUACUGGGUAGCAGCGGCGUCGGUCUCGAGGUCUACCGGAGAAGAAGAGGGGGGGAAGAAAUAGUAAAUACGGAGCACACAAGACAUCUCAAAACAUAACAUGGCAAUAAGCGGUGCUAGGGUGACCUAACGCAGUGCUAGAAGAUACUGGCGAAGGGGGAAAACAUCCGGCAAGUUUUCCCGGUGUUUCGCGUUCUCGGGCAGGUGAUCCGGAGGGGGAAAGUUGUGUGUUCUCUAUGCUAGGGAUGUGUGGCGGAUGAACGGGCUACAUAUUCGGAUUCGUCUCGUCGUUCUGAGCAAUUUUCAUGUACAAAGUAUUUUCAUCCGAGUUACGGAUUAUUUUAUAUAUUUUUUCAAAGUUUUAUUCAUUUUUUGAAUUUAACUUAAUUCGAAAUUAAAGUGAAUUGCUAGGUGCACCCAGCUCUGGGUACACAUAAGUGUACCAGAGGGGCUGACAUGUGGGUCCAAGGGGUCCUAGUUGACCAGUCAAACUUUGACUGGUCAACGGGGGGUGGGUGCCCCUUGUCAUAUACUAUCUUACUAACCUAACAGAUUAAAUAGUCUAAUUAGGUUAUCAGUUUAACUAACACAGGUUAAUUAAGUUAAUUAACUCUUUAAUUAAUUAAUUAAUAGUUUUUUAUUAUUUAAUCUUCUUUUUUUAUAUAAAUGUUUCAGGGGCGUGGGCCCCCUUUGUCAUAGGCCCCUGUGGGCUCAACGGGGCGGGUUAACGGGCGCGGGCGAGGCUGCCCAUUUGGGCGCCCGCCCAGACCAGUGGAGGCGCCGGGGCGUCGUAGCCGGCGGCGAGGUGCGUCGGGCAGCAGGGGGCGAACGUCGGCGGCAGUUGAUGCAGAAGCUGCAGGCCGCGCGUGAGAGGGGAGGAGGAGCAGGAAGGUCGCGCGGGUGCGAGCGGCGAUGUGGCUUGGAGCGCCGUCGACGGGGAUGGCCACUCGCGGGUGAUGACCGAGGCAUGCGCGAGCAGGCGUGGACGUGCGCGAGGGGGGGCGUGGCCCAGGCGGGCGGAGCGACGACGCCGGCGGGCAGAGGCGGCCAGCGGGCACGCGUGGCGGAUCCACUAGGGAGGAAGAAGGGAAGGGGAGCUCACAGCGCCCUGUAGUUGAGCGAGGCGUGCUCGGGGAGGAGUCGGGGACGACGGCAACGUGGUUUCGAGGUGGUAGGCCGGCGAGGAGGAGGAGGCAGGCCGGCGACGUGGUGGUGGCGACGACAGGCGACAGACAUCGGGUCGGCGACGAGGCGAGGACGCAGCUUCAGGCGGGCGUCGUGCGAGGGAGAGGAGGGGCACGAAGGAGUCCGAGAGGGGCGGCGCCGGCGGCGGUUUGCACCGGGCACGGGCGUGCGGGAGCAGGGGAUCAAACAGGGGCGCCCCUCUCCCUGGCAAGAUGCGCGUGUGUGUGUGUUGUGUGUGGCGGCGCUGGGUGGAGGGGAACGAGGGGAGAGAUGGGGAUCGUGGGAGGGGGGGUGCGGGGCUAGGGUUCGGUUCGGUGGGGGGUAUGUGUAGGCCGGGGGUGGGCCGGCCUGGCUGGGAGAUGGCCCAGUUGGGCUGGAGUCUUUUCUCUUUUCUGUUUUUACUUUUUAUUAUUAUUCUUUUACUGUUUUUAUUUUAUUUCUCAAUAUAUUUAUUUUUUUGUAAAAUAUGUAAUUAACACCCAAAUUGCAUUACUAAAUAUACCUCUGCCACAAUAACUUGGGCACCCAAACAAAUUAGUUUAAUAUUUUAUAUAUUACAAAAGGAAUUUAAUUAUUGGUUUUAGCUACUAUUUAUUUACUUUCGAGCAUUCAGUUAUUUUAUAAAAGUGUGGUUUCUCCACCAUAAUUACCUAUGCAAUAUUUGGUUCACUCCGAACAUUUUAGUUUUAAUAUUUAAAAACUUUUAUUGUUUGCUUGAUUUUGAAUUAGAAUUUGAAUCGUUUUCAAACUAACGCGAGAUUAGUAACAGUAAUCGAGGUGACGUGGG
rnacentral:lncRNA from 1 species